AAUUUCUAGACACGAAAAAUAUAUUAAUUGAAAUUUUAAAAUCAGGCUGUGGAUAACUGGAGAUGGGGACGGCCCUGUACAUCAAGAUUAAAAGAGCAAAUAAAGUUUACAACACUGGAGAGCCUAUCCGGAUUAUCAGCAGCACCACAGAAAUGGUGAAGCUAGGGGAAUCUCUCAGUGGCAAAACAGAAAUCCCUUUUGAGUUUCCUCUGCAUGUGAAGGGUAACAAAGUUCUGUAUGAGACUUAUCAUGGCAUGUUUGUCAACAUUCAGUACACACUGUGCUGUGACUCGAGGCAAUCUCUGUUGGCCAAGGACUUGACAAAGACCUGUGAAUUUAUCAUUCAUUCUGUUCCUCAGAAAGGGAAGUUGAUUCCCAGUCCUGUGACCUUCACGAGUACACCUGAAACCUUACAGAACGUCAAAGAGAGAGAUUUGCUUCCCAAAUUUCACAUUCAAGGACAUCUCAACUCAACAAACUGUGUCAUCAUGCAGCUGCUAAGGGGAGAGCUGGUGGUGGAGAGCCCAGAGGUGCCAUCAGAAGCGUGGAGCUGCAGCUGGUGCACGUGGAGACUUGCGGGUGUGCAGAAGGCUAAGUCCGCGAGGCCACGGGGAUUCAGAACAUUCAGAUCACCGACAGUGACGUGUGCAGGGGCCUCUCUGUCCCCAUCUACAUGGUCUUCUCCAGGCUGUUCACCUGCCCUCCGCUGGAGACCACCAGCUUCCAUGUGGAAUUUGAGGAUAACAUCGUGGUGCUUCUCCACCCUGACCACCUCAUCGUGGAGAACUUCCCGCUGAACCUCUGCACGAUACAGCCCAGAGAGGGAGGCACAGAAAACCAGAGUGGCCAUCUGAAAAUCCAGCUGGUUAUUCAAAUCCUAAGGGGAGCGACAGCCAGUGGCAUUUACUUGUUUUUGUGA